UACGUAGGGGGCAAGCGUUGUCCGGAUUCAUUGGGCGUAAAGAGCGUGUAGGCGGCCAGGUAGGUCGGUUGUGAAAACUGGAGGCUCAACCUUCAGAGGUCGACCGAAACCAUCUGGUUAGAGUCCGGGAGAGGAGAGUGGAAUUCCGUGGUGUAGCGGUGAAAUGCGCAGAUAUCAGGAAGAACACCCGUGGCGAAAGCGGCUCUCUGGAACGGUACUGACGCUGAGACGCGAAAGCGUGGGGAGCGAACAGG
rnacentral:rRNA from 1 species